rnacentral:rRNA from 1 species
AUUGAACGCUGGCGGCAUGCUUUACACAUGCAAGUCGAACGGUAACAGGUCUUCGGAUGCUGACGAGUGGCGAACGGGUGAGUAAUGUAUCGGAACGUGCCCAGUAGUGGGGGAUAACUACUCGAAAGAGUGGCUAAUACCGCAUGAGAACCGAGGUUGAAAGUGGGGGACCGCAAGGCCUCACGCUACUGGAGCGGCCGAUAUCAGAUUAGGUAGUUGGUGGGGUAAAGGCCUACCAAGCCUGCGAUCUGUAGCUGGUCUGAGAGGACGACCAGCCACACUGGGACUGAGACACGGCCCAGACUCCUACGGGAGCAGCAGUGGGGAAUUUUGGACAAUGGGCGCAAGCCUGAUCCCAGCAAAUGCCGCGUGCAGGACGAAGG